rnacentral:tRNA from 1 species
ACAUCUAUAAUUUAAAUGGUAAAAUAUAAAAUUCCAAAUUUUCAUAAUGAAGGUUCAAAUCCUUCUAGAUGUG